CACCUACGGGAGGCGGCAGUCGAGAAUCUUCGGCAAUGAGCGCAAGCUUGACCGAGCGACGCCGCGUGCGGGAUGAAGGCCCUCGGGUUGUAAACCGCUGUCGUAGGGGAGGAAAUCAAUCGGGGUUCUCCCCGGUAGUUGACCUAUCCUAGGAGGAAGUACGGGCUAACUUCGUGCCAGCAGCCGCGGUAAGACGAAGGUGGCGAGCGUUGUUCGGAAUCACUGGGCUUAAAGAGCACGUAGGCGGACUGUCAAGCGUUUUGUGAAAGCCCUCGGCUCAACCGAGGAAUCGCUUGGCGAACUGGCAGUCUUGAGGCAGGUAGGGGCAACUGGAACUCAUGGUGGAGCGGUGGAAUGCGUAGAUAUCAUGAGGAACGCCGGAGGCGAAGGCGAGUUGCUGGGCCUGUCCUGACGCUGAGGUGCGAAAGCCAGGGUAGCAAACGGGAUUAGAUACCCCGGUAGUCCUGGCCCUAAACGAUGUCCACUAGGUCGGAGGCACUCUGACGUGUUUCUGGCCGAAAUGAAAACGGUAAGUGGACCGCCUGGGGAGUACGGUCGCAAGGCUAAAACUCAAAGGAAUUGACGGGGGCUCACACAAGCGGUGGAG
rnacentral:rRNA from 1 species